UACACAUCCACUUUGCAUAUUUGCAGUCUGGAGGCACUUUGUAUAUCGAGUGCAAUGGCCAACCGUCUGCAACCGUCUCGAGGUCGAGGGAGGCCUCCCAUGAGAGGACACUGCCCGAUUCGCGUCGAGGGAGGCCGGCGCUGGCUGAUUCGCGCGCGGUGGAGCUUCUCCGCGACUCCGUUGUGCUUCCCCAAACCUCCUCUCCGCCCCGCCCGCGCUCCCUCGGCAGUCACCGGUCGGCCGACCAGCACCACCCCUCGGGCUCACGCGGCCCCUGCGGCAACCAUCUGCCGCCCCGCCUCGAGCUCGUGCAGGCUCCCUGCAACCUCAAGGCCCCCCAGGAUGCACUCAGGUCCGCCCGUCGAGCUCGCGCCGCCAUUUCGGCCGCGUCCUCCGCUCGACUCCUACUUGCAUGGGAGGUGUGGCAUGGCUGUAGUGCACUAGUGCUGAAAGAUUUGUCUGCUCUGUUCUUGAGAAGCUGCAAUCAAUCUACAGUUCUACAACCAUUCUGGAUUUUGCAAUUUUACCUAGUGCAAGGAAAAGGUGGAAACAAGCAGCAGCGAUCAGAUCUAUAAACUAUCCUCAUCGAGAAGUUCUGUUCUCAGGAAGUUCCAGUGCUCACUGUGGUGUGCCUUCCAAUGUCAGUAGAUUUUAGAGAUAAAUAUUAGAUUGUUCAGUUUCUCAGAAAUGAUAUGUUUUGGUCUCUCACCCAACUGGGUUUAGAAAAAAAAGAAGGAUUAGGAAGCGCAGAAGCGAGCUAACACAUGGAUAUGUAAUGUUCAAUUCGUCAAUAAAAAUAUUUGGUACAGAGUAUGCAUGGAAUUCUUAUGUUAAUGUAAGUAUCUUUUUCAAAUAAAAACGUAUGUAGAAUAAUUACAAAUCAAGCAACUCUUGUACAUGUAA